rnacentral:rRNA from 1 species
GAUCUGUUAGAGCAAUCGAAGCAGUGAACUUAAGCCCCAGUAAACGGCGGCCGUAACUAUAACGGUCCUAAGGUAGCGAAAUUCCUUGUCGGGUAAGUUCCGACCCGCACGAAAGGCGUAACGAUUUGGGCACUGUCUCAACAACAGACUCGGUGAAAUUGUAAUUCCGGUGAAGAUGCCGGAUACCUGCGACAGGACGGAAAGACCCCAUGGAGCUUUACUGUAGCUUGACAUUGGGUCUUGGUACUACAUGUACAGGAUAGGUGGGAGGCUUUGAAACCAGGACGCCAGUUUUGGCGGAGCCAUCCUUGGGAUACCACCCUUGUAGUACUGGGACUCUAACCAUAGGCCAUGAAUCUGGUCUUGGGACACUGUCAGGUGGGCAGUUUGACUGGGGCGGUCGCCUCCCAAAAGGUAACGGAGGCGCUCAAAGGUUCUCUCAGUACGGUCGGAAAUCGUACGUAGAGUGUAAAGGCAAAAGAGAGCUUGAUUGCAAGACAUACAGGUCGAGCAAGGAUGAAAAUCGGACUUAGUGAUCCGGUGGUUCUGCGUGGAAGGGCCAUCGCUCAACGGAUAAAAGCUACCCUGGGGAUAACAGGCUUAUCUCCCCCAAGAGUCCACAUCGACGGGGAGGUUUGGCACCUCGAUGUCGGCUCAUCACAUCCUGGGGCUGUAGUAGGUCCCAAGGGUUGGGCUGUUCGCCCAUUAAAGUGGUACGCGAGCUGGGUUCAGAACGUCGUGAGACAGUUCGGUCCCUAUCCGUCGCAGGCGUAGGAAAUUUGAGAAGACCUGUCCUUAGUACGAGAGGACCGGGAUGGACG